rnacentral:siRNA from 1 species
GGCGGUAACCCUUCUGAGCUAAGUGGGUAGGGGGCUUGGUCGCGGGGCACUAGUACACGCGGGAACACCCUGAAAAUGUAGGAGUGUUCCCGGUUUAGUGCAAGGCCCCACUUCCAAUAGUUAGGGAUGAGCCAUUUAGGGUGUGAUGAGUGCUUUAGGCAGCACUUUCUCAAACCCCAACCAGCUACCCUUGAGACAAGGCCCGUCUACCCUUGGGCAAGGUCUUUGCAUUUACCUGCUCGGCCCUUGUUGUUUUGUCUAUCACUCCUGAGCUA